rnacentral:lncRNA from 1 species
CUUGAAAGCAUGUCACACAGACAGACAAUAAACGUACUUUGAAAUCUUCCCAGCUUCUAUCCCUCACCAACACGUCUCAUGAACCUGACCUGGGCAAAGCUAGAAGCAUUCUCAAGCCAAGCUGCCCUGCAGUUACCAGUUAGUGGAGAGAGAAUCUUCCCACCUCCAGGAUUCAUUUUUUAAUACACCGAAAUAAUGAGAGGCAAGAUUUGUAAGUACCCCAGGUCGAGGUGGAGAUUGAACAGGAAUCAGAGAUCAGCAAAUUGCUGGAUGAUGCAUUAAUUGGGGGAGGAGGAAUAGUCACAAGGAAAAAAGUCUGGCUGGGCUGGGGAGGCUGGGGUGAGUGGUGUCAUGGAUGUGGUGUGUGUGUGUGUGUGUGUAUACACAUGUGGGGUAACAGUAGGGAAAGAGUAGCCAUUACUUUUCUAUUUAGAGGAUUUUUAUGUGUUCCCAAGUUUUAGGGGAUCUGGCUAAGUUUCUGUGCAUAUGGGAGGAUUAUUCUAUUUUCUUCCAUGAACACAGUGUAUCAUGAUGGUUAAGAACACAUGCUCUGAAGUCAGACUAUUUGAAUUUAAAACCUGGGCCUGCUACUUCUAGUUGUGUCCCUUGGUAAAACUCUCUAAAUUCAUCAAAUGUCAGUUUCCCUGUCUGUAGAAUGGGUGAUCAGAGAAGUGAUAGUAUGGAGUUGAGUCCCCAGCACAGGGUAGGAAAUUCAAAGUUACCAUGACUAUUCCUUGUUUUGUUAUUUGAACUGAUAUUAGGUUAUUCCACUUUAUUUCCUUCCCUGAAAAAGUGGGUAAACCAUCUAAAGUUCUUACUUCUGCAACAGAAGUGACCCACCCCUGCUUUGUUUCCUUAAGGAGCAGUGCUCUGUCAUUGAAGCAAAACCCACAUCUUUCCUUAACUCAUCCUCCACUUAACACUCUGGUGCCUUGUGACUUUGCAUGGGGACAGAGCUGGAGCUGAAGAGCCAGGGCAAAAGGGCAAGGCCAGAGUCAGGGCUGGCUGGGAUGAUUUAUAACAGCAGAGUGACCCCUUAGGAGGAGGAGGUAGAGGGCCAUCACAAUCACUGGCAUUUCUUCCUGUCCCUGGAAGGGCGCUCUACCUGGGGAGACGAGGGUCAGGGCACACUGCUGCAGUCCUGGAGAGCAGCUAGAGGCUGCAGGUGGGUAGGAACUUAUAUCUGUGGGGGAGAGUAUCCGGGAGGCCUGGGGAUAGCUUGAGUUCCACGACUGGUUAAAUAUGGAAACCUGGGUGAGUUGCCUCACUUUUGAGGGUCUCAGUGUCAUCUGUCAGACUGAUGUCCACCAUGAUUCAAGGUCACUUCCCCUGCAGACUUCAUGCUCAUCUUUAAUUCCUCCCAACCCACACAAACACACAACAUAGGCGUAUAGUGAGGCACACGCAUACCCAGAGAGUAUAUCUCAUGUACGUGUGCAUGAACAUGUGUAUGCACAAACACAUACACAUGGAUACAUGAGAAUGCUUCCUCGGCCAUCUUGAUCAUAUCCAGCUCAAAUUCUACCUUCUACCUUCCUGGGCCUUCCCAGCCCAAUUUGAUCACCUGCCUGUCUGCUUUUUAAGUCUGCACCAUACAAAAUCCCACUUCAAUUUCUUUGUCCAGUUUUGGCUGUUUGUAGUUCUGGGCCAUGUCUGUCCUCCAAAUGCAUAGCUGAUUCCCUGACAGCUCUGGUUUAGGGUUCUCCCUCCCUCAUCUUCCUCGUGCAUGUCCCAUAAUGCUAAUGCCACUUCAACUUAUCAGCACAACAUGUUUACAAGGUCAUUCUGUUUUUAUGUAGUUGGUGAAAGUGAGAUAUUUUAACCAUAAUCUGUUCAUAAUACCAUUUCUUUCAUCACUGAUCUCUCCCAUCCUACCUCUCUCGUUUUAUGUGCCAUUGGAGUGGCACUUUGGAGACUAGUAUGUAGCAGUUGAAUUGUGCAUGUAUUUGGUAUGGGUUCAGUCAGAUGCAUUCACAGGGUGUGUAGUCACUUCUCUGUAAUUCACGAGUCGCUAGCUGGCAAGUGUAGGAAAGGCUUCAAGGACCACUCCUGACACCCACUGUGCAGAUGGUUUCUGUGUGGAGCAGAAGGGAACCUGCAGUGUGGGGUGGUGCAUGCUUGUGUCCGGCCAUGCCUGGCCCUGGAAGUGGAUGGGAGAGAGAAACAAAGGUUCUAAAAUGCAUGGAUCCAGAAGCUGCUUCAUAGGAAAUUCCUCCAAUCAUCAGGUGUGUGAAGUCAUAAGCAGAGGAUUCUCAUCACUGCCUCGUCAAAGUGAAAGUUCUCUCUUGUCAAGAAUAUACUCAAUCAUGCAAAGUAAUACAAUUACAAAUGCACUAUUCAUCUUGUUUCUUUUUUGAUGGGAAUUACUGACAUAGAAUUUAUCAGAAUCCCCAUGUUUAAAUGUCUUGCUGAUUUGACAGGAAAUACCGACAUUGAUGGAGAUAACAUAAAACUCAUUAUACGCCACUACAAUGAGGACAUCGAUGACAAUCUGGUUAGUAAGUUUCAUAAAUUCAAAGAGCAUUUUAGAUUUGUCGCUAUAAUAGAAAAAUUGAAAUGCCCUGAAAAUCUCAUAGCUCAUAUAUGAAAGAUAUUCUAAAGAGGUUUUUGCAAAGGUAAUAGCAAUCCCGAAAAUUCACAUGGCAUUACCGAUGACAAAUUACAAGGCUGAAAGACACCUUUCCAAACUGUGAAUAAUAAAGUACAAAAUUUGAUCAACUCGUUAGAGGGGAGACUGAAUUAUCUUCCUAUUCUCUCUAUAAAACUAAUAUUGAAAAAUUAUAGUCAUUUAAAGAUGAUCAAAGCACUUGUAGCUAAAGAAAUGUAGAAGGAAAAUAUUACAGAUGUGCUAGUUGUUCUAGAUUGGGUGUUGCCUGUGGGAUUUGUCGGCUGCUUAAAAUGUGUAGUUUGUAGUGACUUUUCUCUUUCUUAGUUAAAUUCCACUUUCGAACAUAAUUUUUGAUUCGUAAUUUUGAAUUCAUGUGUUUUAGGAGAUUCCCUCUAGUUCAUAAAAGUUUCGGGCCUCACAGACUGGUUCUGCCCUGUGUCUCCUCAGCCUGCACAGAGCACCACACUCUCUCCCAGCUGCAGGCUAGCCUGUGGCUGCCACCGCAGGGGACAUGGGAACAGGGUGGCAUUGUUGAAGCACUCACCACAACCAGUGGGGAAUGUGGCUCUUGCUGACAUCACACAUCCAUGGAGACCACCUGCCUCUUAUUCUACCAAGGGCAAAACUUUUUGUCACACUGACUCAAAGGGACCCAAACCACCUUCCCACAAACCGUCUUGUCAGGGCCUGGCUGGGCCCUGCCAGCCCCCCUACAUUUCCUUUUAAUAAAAUUUAAUGUUUUCAUUUUCAAAGACCUAGAAAAUCCAAACACUUUUUAAAAGCCCUGAGGAACUAUAAAAAUUAAUAGCACAGGGAUAAUUUCUUUUUCAGUGGCGACUCAAUUAAACCUGCCAAAGUCAGACAGUGUGAUUUAAAUGCACCACUCGCAGGGGGACCAGAGCAGAGCAGGCAAACAGGGAAUGAAACAAUAAUAUUUACCAAUUACCCUCUUGGAUGUUUCCCACCCAGCCCCUUCCCCCCAGGGAGAAUUUUUUCCUUCCCUCCUCUCUGGGGGCCAGGGCUCAGCAUCCCUAAUUGUUUUCUCCUUGAAUGGCCACAUUGCUAUCAACAAGUGACUGAACUUCUUCUUCUCUCAGGGUAAUGGAAAAAUACCACCCGGGCUGGCUGCCCGGGGCAACAGGCCACAUGGACAUCAUCCCGAAUGUGGGGCUGAGCUCAACUUUGGAAGAAUAGUUCCAAGUUCAUCCCAGCCAGACACUCCAGCCAGACCAGACAUCUCACAUUCCAUGCUGAGUCCUGCCCUGGGGCACUUGCUUCUGCUGUUCUCCCAUCAGGAUGUUCCUCUCUCCUAGGCAUUGAACCCUUACCCCUGAGCACUUAACUCCUAGAUUUUCUUUGAGGCCCUUGUCAAGAUGGAGUUCUUUCGGGAAAGCUUUCCUGGAAAAGCCCAUAGUCAUGUAGUUUCCCCUUUACACUAUCUGCUUUUAGAUUUCCUCCUUCAAAUCAACUGCACCUUUUCUUAAUCAUGUUGGGGCUGUCUGGACAUUGCUCCAGAGCUUUCUACAUACAGCCUUACACCAUGUUGUCCCUCCUGCUGGACUGGCAGUUCCACAGAGGCAGGACCUCCUCUGUAUGCACCCUUUGCAUGGUUCAGUGCAUUUAGUUUGGGGUUCUGCAUCCCACCAAAGCUUUCUAAUUGCAUUUGAACAGGAAUGGAGAAUUUUGACAUUUUCUCUAUAUCAGGAGGAAUUGUCUGCCUCAGGAAAUAGGUAGAAGUACAAGGAGCUCAGUGCUGUGAUUUUCAGACAGAAAAAAUUUAAAAAGAAAAGAAAAGAAAACCUGAGAACAAUGUUC